CUCUGUUUUGACUCAGUGCAGAAAUGUUACAUAUUUCAGCUACAGUUUUAUUGCUCUUUGGGAUGGGUUUUCUCCAAGUUAUGUUUUCGAUAGCAAGUAUACAGGCUCAUCCAGGACAAAGUGUCACUAUGUGGUGUUCACACAAUAUUCAUGUUUCUGGAUAUCUGUACUGGUUCAAACAAACAGACGGUGCUGUACCCAUUACUAUUGUGGACAUGUUAUACACCGAAAGUCUUCAGAAGUUUGAGCCAAAUUAUUUCAACAAUUUCACAAAAGACCACAUGGUCAUGGAUCAGUUCAGCAAAAGCACCGGCCUAACAAUUAAGCAAGUGAAAAUGUCUGAUUCUGGCUUCUACUUUUGUGGAGCUACAGGAUAUCACAUGAAAUUUGGCAAUGGAACAAGGCUUCAAGUGAAAGUUGCUGAAUGUCAAGCACAACAGCAUGACGGCAAGGAAAAUGAUUCAGUAGAAUAUGCUGCUGUGUAUUUCUCAAACAAGAGACUCAAAACAGCAGGACGACAUACUGAGGAUACAACUGCUGUGUACACGGACACUACUUGAAACAACUUACUCAAACAUAUUAUUAAUUUAUUAUCUGUGGUUUAUUUUUAACAGCUAGAUAGUACUGUUUUAAGAAAUGUAAUUACUGAGGAGAUCAGAGAUCUGUCUUUCCUUUGCAU